rnacentral:misc_RNA from 1 species
CAAGAGGAAGGCGUGUCUGACUCUGCUCAGAUGCGUCGUCCGCAUCGCAGAAACAAAGGAGACAGCCGCGGCGGCGGCGUCAUCCGCCUGUGGCGGCCUCGCUAGGCCCCCUGCACCCCGCGCUCGCCCACGCCAGACGUCACCACCGCCCCAUCUUACCCCUCCCUGCUCCUGCUCUCUCCGUCGGGACUCCGAGCAGAUCGAGGCCGGAGAGGAGGAUGAGAAGAACACGCCAGAUACCAACGCCGCACACCGUGCUGCCCCUGGCGUGGAGCCGCGAGCAGGCCCAGGGUCACCGAAGCCUGGUG